GGGCAACAGCGGACACUGAUGUGGUCUGUCAGACCAGCUGAAAAGGAUGGAUAGAAUUGGUCACUUUUCUCUCUCAGGGUUGAAAUGCACACAUGUCCUCCCGCAGCCUCUUCCUCUCCUUGUCUGUUCUGUGUUCCGCUGGGCUGCUGUGGUGCAUUCCCCUGUCAGACCCCACACUGGCCCUGGACGGAGAUAUUUAUCUGUCCCUCGUUUAUGUUAGACGGGGAAGGGGGAUCAAUACAACCUGGGAAUACACAGGUGGACCUGAAAAAAUGUAGUUUAGAGGGAAGCUUGUUGGUUACUGCCAUGGUGGGUUGAGGUCAUACGAUGGGGAAUGGGGUGUUUUGUUUUGGGGUCAUCGCUGAAGACCGGACUAGAUCCUGCUGGCUACAAACGUCUGUUCUGUUGACUAAGCUUUACUUGUAAAAAACUUGCAAGCUUAGUUAAUUGCAAAACCCUUAGGUAGGUCAGCGUAAUAGACUUUUGGGGAUUCGCGGGUGUAGUUUGGUGACGGGAGUUUUUCCUGGUCAGGAAAACUCCAGGCCCCGUGGAUGAGGUAACUAGGGAAGGUUGUAUGGUCUAAAGCGGUGUUUCUCCGGUCUUGGAGUACCCCCCCCCCAACGGUACACAUUUCUGUUGAAGCCACGGACAAACAUACCUGGUUCAACUCAUCGAGAGCAAGUUGAAUCAGGUGUGCCUGUCCAGGGCGACAAUAAAACAUUCGCACAAUGAAGUUAUACUCGAGGACUGGAGUUGGGGAAACGCUGGUCUUGGCUCGGACACACCAAUAGAGCUUGCCGCCCGAGAGUACUUAGCACCUCUGAACAGAGUUCCGGCUGUAAUUUUACAACCGAGUGCAAACCGAUUUUACAUUUAGAAUCACUUGAGAAUGUUGGCAGUCAGACAUCCACCAGGGAGGGCGGUCCCUGAAACCCAGUGCGCCAAUUGAUCGGCAGACAAGCGGCAGAUCAACAUUCAGUGUGGUGUGGUACUUAAGUGGGAUUAAAAGUGUUUCUUGUUGACACGACAGAAGACGAGCUCACGUAAUCUCUGUGCAUGUAUAUGUGGAAUUAAUUAACCGCGACAAGAGACUCCACAGGCCCUCAUGCUCAAUCAAAGGUUUGUGUUAGCAACCCAAAGACAAGCGAACAAAUAUUUACCCAUGCUCUCAUUCCCAUCUAAAUAUUAGUCUUGACAAUGAAUGGACGGCUUGGAGAUUGCAUCAUAAGGGGUGACAUUGGUAGAGUUCCCUGUUUAUUCCCGAUAGUCCUGAGUACGGUACGUACUGUCUGUUCACUCUGUGCCGUGUGUGUGUAGCCUAUUAGAUCAAUGGAUCAACUUGACACAUUACAAGUGGAUGGUCAAUAAAUGUUGUUUACAGUGUCUGAAUAGAAAGAACAGUAUUUAUUGGGCCUACUUUUUCCAUCCCUGGUAUCCCUUAUGAGGGUGUCUCAAUAAUGGAGUUAUAAACCCUGAACUCCAGCUGUGGCUAGUAUGGCACAAACCCAGCUAUCGUGGUUAUGGUACCAGCCAUUGUUUGUCAAUAUUAUUCUCGCUAUUGGCUUUUGCCACUGUUUACUUGGCAAGUGUGAGCGGGUGUUUGACGAGGGGACUGUGUAUGCUUAUCUGUGUGUGGGUUCUACAUUGAUCAUGUGUGGUUGACUCCUAUCGACUAGCGCUCUAGUUGUCUGCUCUGCAGAUGUGUGCACUCUGCAGUGACUCAAAUUCAGGGCAGGCCAGUGUGAUGUUCCACUCUGCUCGUGGUCUGUAUGUCUCAGUAUUAUGUGUAUGUGUCUCAAUGUGUAAAUCUAAGUGUGUGUGUGUGUGUGAGGCGUUUUCCUCUAGGCCAAUGCGAGCCAGCCAGUGUUGACGCCCAGCUCUCUGUCAUUAAUCAGCAGGCAGGGGAAGUCUAGGUUUUCCCUGUAACCUCCCAGCAAACAACAAAAGCUCCCACAACUUUAGAGAACGCCCAUCCCCCUAGAGUCGAUGUUCACGGUGUUCUCCGUUCUCAGAUGGUGUUCUCUGUUUUGCUCUACGACCCCCACAAGUGUCACAGAACUCGUCUGAAGGUGAUCCGGUACAGGGCCGAAAAAUGAAUGGAAGUGAAUGGGGCAUGUCCAUGUCAAAGGUAUACGGGUCAUUCCACUGUAAUUAAAAAAAUUUAAAAAAUCCUGAACUUUCUUGAAU
rnacentral:lncRNA from 13 species